UGCCGAUGAUGCAUAACAACUGCACGUAUUAUCAGAUUGUUCCAUGACGAUCUACAAAUUGUCACUACCACUGAGGCA
rfam:Sorghum bicolor cultivar BTx623 chromosome 4, whole genome shotgun sequence.